GACGAACGCUGGCGGCGUGCUUAACACAUGCAAGUCGAACGGAAAGGCCCUGCUUUUGUGGGGUGCUCGAGUGGCGAACGGGUGAGUAACACGUGAGUAACCUGCCCUUGACUUUGGGAUAACUUCAGGAAACUGGGGCUAAUACCGGAUAGGAGCUCCUGCUGCAUGGUGGGGGUUGGAAAGUUUCGGCGGUUGGGGAUGGACUCGCGGCUUAUCAGCUUGUUGGUGGGGUAGUGGCUUACCAAGGCUUUGACGGGUAGCCGGCCUGAGAGGGUGACCGGACACAUUGCGACUGAGAUACGGCCCAGACUCCUACGGGAGGCAGCAGUGGGGAAUAUUGCACAAUGGGCGGAAGCCUGAUGCAGAAACGCCGCGUGCGGGAUGACGGCCUUCGGGUUGUAAACCGCUUUCGCAUGUGACGAAGCGUGAGUGACGGUAAUGGGUAAAGAAGCACCGGCUAACUACGUG
rnacentral:rRNA from 1 species